rnacentral:piRNA from 1 species
UGGAUUAUCUCUUUUUGAUUA